AAAGAAAGCGUAAUAGCUCACUGGUCGAGUCGGCCUGCGCGGAAGAUGUAACGGGGCUAAACCAUGCACCGAAGCUGCGGCAGCGACGCUUAUGCGUUGUUGGGUAGGGGAGCGUUCUGUAAGCCUGUGAAGGUGUACUGUGAGGUAUGCUGGAGGUAUCAGAAGUGCGAAUGCUGACAUAAGUAACGAUAAAGCGGGUGAAAAGCCCGCUCGCCGGAAGAC
rnacentral:rRNA from 1 species